rnacentral:misc_RNA from 1 species
CAAUAAGAGUGUUUUAUGGCACUCUUUCAAAAAAUCCAUACCCACCUUGUGUGCAAUGUAAAAAAAAAAAAAAAGGAGUUUUCCUUGUGGUUUGGGAGUGAGAGUUGUUUUUACAAACGCUCAUUUUUUUUUUUUUUUUUUUUUCCUCAAGAGACACUUUUUUUUUUUUCAUUUCAUAUACAACCUUUUCUAUAAGUUUCCUAUUGUCCUGAAGUACUUGGAAUAAAUAUAAUUCUAAAAUA